ensembl:snoRNA
UCGUCUUCGAAUCAAGGCUGGCAGUUUGCUGAAGCUGUUGGAUGCAUGGAAGAGCCUAAAAAAUAUGUCUUUCUAUGAUCUGCUGCCAUUUCAGAGCUGUGGAAAUGUAAUGGUCAGUUCACUAGAAAGAAGCACCC